rnacentral:rRNA from 1 species
AUUGAACGCUGGCGGCAGGCCUAACACAUGCAAGUCGAACGAGUGGCGGACGGGUGAGUAAUGUCUGGGAAACUGCCUGAUGGAGGGGGAUAACUACUGGAAACUGUAGCUAAUACCGCAUACCCUCAGAUGUGCCCAGAUGUGAUUAGCUAGUUGGUGGGGUAACGGCGCACCAGGGCGACGAUCCCUAGCUGGUCUGAGAGGAUGGACAGCCACACGUGAACUGGGACACUGUCCAGACUCCAACGGUAGGCAGCAGUGGGGAAUAGUGCACAAUGGGCGCAAGCCUGAUGCAGCAAUGCCGCGUGUAUGAAGAAGGCCUUCGGGUUGUAAAGUACUUUCAGCGGGGAGGCGUUACCCGCAGAAGAAGCACCGGCUAACUCCGUGCCAGCCGCCGCGGUAAUUC